GCUGGGUGUGGUGGUGCGUACCUGUAAUCCCAGCUACCUGGGAGGCUGAGGCAGGGGAAUUGCUUGAACCCAGGAGGUAGAGGUUGCAGUGAGCUGAGAUCGAGCCACUGCACUCCAUCCUGGGUGACAGAGUGAGACUCCAUCUCAA
rnacentral:SRP_RNA from 1 species